CAGCAGGUCUAAAGGAGGUCUAUAGCAGUCUACAGCAGGUCUAAAGGAGGUCUAUAGCAGGUCUACAGCAGGUCUAAAGGAGGUCUAUGUCUACAGCAGGUCUAAAGGAGGUCUAUAGCAGGUCUACAGGUAGUCUACAGCUGGUCUACAGGAGGUCUACAGCAGGUCUACAGGAGGUCUACAGCAGGUCUAAAGGAGGUCUAUAGCAGGUCUAAAGCAGGUCUAAAGGAGGUCUAUUGCAGGUCUACAGCAGGUCUACAGCAGGUCUACAGAAGGUCUACAGCAGGUCUACAGGAAUCUAUAGCAGGUCUACAGCAGGUCUACAGGAGGUCUAAAGGAGGUCUAUUGCAGGUCUACAGCAGGUCUACAGGAGAUCUAUAGCAGGUCUAAAGCAGGUCUAAAGGAGGUCUAUUGCAGGUCUACAGCAGGUCUACAGAAGGUCUACAGCAGGUCUACAGGAAUCUAUAGCAGGUCUACAGCAGGUCUACAGGAGGUCUAAAGGAGGUCUAUUGCAGGUCUACAGCAGGUCUACAGGAGAUCUAUAGCAGGUCUA